rfam:Virgibacillus massiliensis genome assembly, contig: 000001
AGUGAGGAUAGAGGUGCAAUGUUCAUGAUUACACCGUUUGAGGAUGAUGAGAUCCAGGGAAGAUGGUGGAAAGGGGGCAUUGCCGAAGCCACAGAAAUCUCAUAUUUUCUGUAGCUGGUUCUGCUAUUGAAUAAAUACAGGACUGUCAUAUAGGAAACUAUAUGGAGGGCUAUCUGACGC